GAAGAUUGCUGUUUCCCUCACAGAGCUACAAUUCCCCAUGUCCCUCAGAAGAGGGACGGAUUGUUAAACCGCUGUGGGAAUUGUGGCUCUUUGAGGGAAACAGGAGAGUU